rnacentral:rRNA from 1 species
UACGUAGGUGGCAAGCGUUGUCCGGAAUUACUGGGUGUAAAGGGAGCGCAGGCAGGAAGCCAAGUCAGCUGUGAAAACUACGGGCUUAACUUGUAGACUGCAGUUGAAACUGGUUUUCUUGAGUGAAGUGGAGGUUGGCGGAAUUCCGAGUGUAGCGGUGAAAUGCGUAGAUAUUCGGAGGAACACCGGUGGCGAAGGCGGCCAACUGGGCUUUAACUGACGCUGAGGCUCGAAAGUGUGGGGAGCAAACAGG